rnacentral:rRNA from 1 species
UACGGAGGAUGCGAGCGUUAUCCGGAUUUAUUGGGUUUAAAGGGUGCGUAGGCGGACGCUUAAGUCAGCGGUAAAAUUGCGGGGCUCAAUCUCGUCGAGCCGUUGAAACUGGGUGCCUUGAGUGGGCGAGAAGUACGCGGAAUGCGUGGUGUAGCGGUGAAAUGCAUAGAUAUCACGCAGAACUCCGAUUGCGAAGGCAGCGUACCGGCGCCCUACUGACGCUGAAGCACGAAGGCGUGGGUAUCGAACAGG